rnacentral:misc_RNA from 1 species
AGGUCGUAACAAGGUUUCCGUAGGUGAACCUGCGGAAGGAUCAUUAACACGUAUGCAAACGUUAACCCCCUGUGAACCCGUGGCAAUCCCUAGUAAAUCAUCGCCGAACAGUUUUCGAUUUAGGGACUUCCACAAAGAGUGUGCUCGCAGCGCGAGGCAAGUUGGUGUCUGAAAGUGUCACUGGCUGUGUAAGGAUGGCGCAGUCACGAUCGUUGGAGGCCGACACGGCCGACGACCGGGUCACCGGGCUCACGCUCCUUAAUGUCAGACGCGCCUGCGCUUAAUUGUGCGGCGACCAUAAAACUCCAACAACUGUUAACAAUGGAUAUCUUGGUUCUC